GGCCUCUUGUUUAUAUAUGAGGUCUGACCUGCCCGGUGAAAUUAUUUUAACGGCCGCAGUAUUUUGACUGUGCAAAGGUAGCAUAAUCAUUAGUCUUUUAAUAGGGGGCUGGAAUGAAGGGUUUGACGAGGUGUUAACUGUCUCAUUAAAUUUGUUAUUAAAAUUUGACUUUUCAGUUAAAAGGCUGAAAUUUUAUUGGAAGACGAGAAGACCCUAUAGAGCUUUAUAAUUGAAGAUUUAAUUAUUAUUUGUUUAUUAUUUUUUAUUAUUUCUUUAAUUAUUUUGUUGGGGUGACAAAAAUAUAUAAUUAACUUUUUUAUUUAAUUAACAUUGAUUAAUGAAUAUUAGAUCCAAUCUUAUUGAUUGUUAGAUUAAGUUACC
rnacentral:rRNA from 1 species